rnacentral:misc_RNA from 1 species
GAAAUGCGAUAAUUAAUGUGAAUUGCAGAAUUCAGUGAAUCAUCGAGUCUUUGAACGCACAUUGCGCCUUGUGAUAUUCCGCAAGGCAUGCCUGUCUGAGCGUCAGCCUACAUCUCAAGCAAAAGCCUUUAUUGGCUCUUUGUCUUGGAUCAUAUCAAGAAAGCAUUUGGUUUAGAGCUAAUUGCCUCUUGGAAAAUGAUAGAUGGUCAGAGUUUUCUUUGCCAAACGUAAUAUUUAGAAUUCGUUUGUGUGAUUAAGCUCUGGAUGGUCUUGAACCCACAAAUCUUUUAUAGUUGACUUGACCUCAGAUCAGGUAGGGAUACCCGCUGAACUUAA